AACGCACGAGACCUGCGGACCUGCGGAGGGAUCAUUACUGAGUUUCACAACUCUCUAACCCUGUGUGAACUGAAGUCUGGUUGCUCAGGCAGGCGGCCCCCGGGGGGAGCCGCAGCUUCUCUGAAGCGCCUGCCGGAGGAUACCUAAACUCGUUUUAACAUAUAAUCUUCUGAGUAAUAAAAAAAAUGAAUCAAAACUUUUAACAAUGGAUCUCU
rnacentral:misc_RNA from 1 species